AGAUAUAUCAGGCUGGUCUGUCAGACGGCUUCAGGCUCCCUGGGCUCUUCAUAUUUUAAAUCUUUGCGUAAAUAUCUCUGUACUUGUACCACAACAGGCUAGGUAAUGCUGGAGAUGCUGAAAGGCAAACCGUGUAAAACCUGCUUAGUGGUGACUGCCUGCCUACCUGUAGGUUGAAGAUUCCCAGCUGCAGUGGUGGCUCCAACAACAGGCACUGGCAGCUCCUGGGCAGAGAGCUCAGAAGUGGCUCUCCUUCCCCAUGGUGUAUCCACCAGCUGAGGAGCCCUGGAGUAGUUGGCAGGAACUCCUCCUGAUCAUUGCCUUUGUGACUUUUAGAAAAUGUGGCCUCUGAAUCUCAAAGGAUGAAUUUUGUUUACCGUGAAAAAUGGAUGGAAAUGCUGCUCUUAUUCAAGAUUGCUAUCAAAAAAAAAAACAAAA